AAGGGAUUAUCAAGUGUAACAGCAACUCCAUGUGGACUGUGUACAAUUUCCAGUGGAGAUGCUGUUAUUUUUGAUGAUUGCCAA
rnacentral:pre_miRNA from 12 species